AUGGGACAACUUCCCCUUUCCACACGGAUGACUCCCGCCACAGAAGGAAGUCACAUUUUCACUGUCCCUGCCUCGUGCGAAGUCACACACGUGGGUCUUAAGUUUCUGCGAGACACAGCACUCAGUCCUGUCCUCAUCCACCCAGGGAGCCACCGCCAGGCCAGCCGCCAGCGUGCAGCUCUGCCGCCACAGUCCCAGCGCUCGGCAGCCUUCUAUGAACCCACGUGCACAUGCGAGCGACCUCACCACGCGCACCCACGGCAUUUCCCAGGGGGAGGUGGCCCCUCCUCUCCGCCAGCAGUUUGUGAGAAGUUAGAGUUCCCAUCAGUCUCCCUCCUGUCCUGCUCACGUACUUGUUUCUUUCAAUGGAGACGCUAUACACAGGGCUGUGCAGAGUCUCUCGGGUCGUCUGCCCCUAGGGGUCAUCUGCACCCUGUGGAUGGGUCAGGGGUCGCCUGCGCCCUGCAGAGGAGGUGGAGGGAGUCUCAGGAGGGGUCAGGGUCACCUGCGCCCUGCAGAGGAGGUGGAGGGAGUCUCAGGAGGGGUCAGGGUCACCUGCGCCCUGCAGAGGAGGUGGAGGGGGUCUCAGGAGGGGUCAGGGUCACCUGCGCCCUGCAGAGGAGGUGGAGGGGGUCUCAGGAGGGGUCAGGGUCGCCCGCGCCCUGCGAGAGGAGGUGGAGGGGGUCUCAGGAGGGGUCAGGGGUCCCCUGCACCCUACAGAGGAGUUGGGCGGUGCACCUCUGGACACUGAUGGGGUGGGCACCGCGAGCCGCUGCUGUUGUGUCUCGCACCAGUGGUUCUGUGCAACCUCUUGGUCCCCUAGACAAGUUUUCCUUUCCUAUGACGUGGGGGUGCUCUGUGUCUCACACUUCUGCACCCCUUUCCAGGGCUGUCUGCUGGACCCGCCUCCCUUGUAGGCAACUGCCCGCUGACCGUCCCCUCCUCGAGUCCCGCCCCUCCCCCUGCCUGGAACCACAGGUAGAAGGCUCGCCUGGAGGGACAGCCCUAAGCAUUUGGGCACACACCCUGGAGCCUCGACUCUCCUCUGACCUUGCCCGCGACGCCAGGAGGCCCUGUCACACCUCAUGCCUCCCUGGAGAGCCUGCCUUCCCCGGCCACAGCCUCCCAUGUCCUGCGACCUCACCUCCGAGAUCCAGCCAGCCCCAUCCCUCUCGCUCCUCACCACCCGCCCCGCAGCCUCCGCCUCCACCAUCCACACAGAGGUGGGGCUUCCUGUGGCUCCCCCAUGUGGGGCCUGCCCCCUCCCGCCCGCGGGGCAUCCCUGCCUCAGGGCCUCUGCGCCUGCUCCUGUCCCUGGAAGGGCCCCUCCGCUCCCUGACUGACCCUCAUGCUCCUCCCCUCUCAGUGCAGCCAGGCCAUCUGGCCACAGCUCCCCGGACACUCGCAUGGAGUCCUAGUUGA
rnacentral:lncRNA from 1 species